UGGGGAAUAUUGCGCAAUGGGGGAAACCCUGACGCAGCGACGCCGCGUGGAGGAAGAAGGCCUUCGGGUUGUAAACUCCUUUGGCAGGGGAAGAAGAAGACGGUACCCUGAGAACAAGCCACGGCUAACUACGUGCCAGCAGCCGCGGUAAUACGCAGGUGGCGAGCGUUGUCCGGAAUUACUGGGUGUAAAGGGCGUGUAGGCGGGGUGUCAAGUCAGGUGUGAAAGACCGGGGCUCAACCUCGGGGAUGCAUCUGAAACUGAUGCUCUUGAGUGUCGGAGAGGAGAGCGGGAUUCCCAGUGUAGCGGUGAAAUGCGUAGAGAUUGGGAGGAACACCAGUGGCGAAGGCGGCUUUCUGGACGACAACUGACGCUGAGGCGCGAAAGCGUGGGGAGCAAACAGG
rnacentral:rRNA from 1 species